UACAGAGGGGGCAAGCGUUGUUCGGAAUUACUGGGCGUAAAGGGCGCGUAGGCGGCCUUCUAAGUCGAACGUGAAAUCCCCGGGCUCAACCCGGGAACUGCGUCCGAUACUGGUGGGCUUGAAUCCGGGAGAGGGAUGCGGAAUUCCAGGUGUAGCGGUGAAAUGCGUAGAUAUCUGGAGGAACACCGGUGGCGAAGGCGGCAUCCUGGACCGGCAUUGACGCUGAGGCGCGAAAGCCAGGGGAGCAAACGGG
rnacentral:rRNA from 1 species